CCUACUUGAAUGGCAAUGCACACGGGAAAAAAUCUGAUCCCAUUAUCAUGAUUUACGAAUCAUGAAAAUUAUAAAUUGCUCUUGGGACGAAAUCAUGAUUCAGACUCAUGAUUUUUGAAGCUGAGCUACCACUAUCAUGAUUCAGAGCAACCAUUUUCAUGAGCUCCAAAUCAUGACCAUGAAAAGCGUUACGCACACGGUGCACCUGUCAAAACGUGUUUAGCAAAGCUUGUGCAAAGCAUAGUUGGCUGCGCAUUCACGGAAAAGUUGCCCUUUUUUUAAAAAAAAAGUUCACUUUUAUUGCCGGUUUCCUGCGCCGCUGUUGCUCUACUGUCGUUCCUGCUCUACUAUUCCGUUCCUGCUCCGUUGAUAUCGAGCUAUUCCGGCUCUGCAGAACUACCGCCGUUUCAUUCUGUUCCUUUCCUGCCGUGGCUGUUGCCCAUUCCGGCUCCUGUGUACCCGUUCCGGCUCCGCAUUGAGGGAAAAUUCAUCCGGCUCCGCUCUACUAACUACCGCCGUUUUAUUGUCCCAGUGCCACUGUCGCCAUUCCCGCCGCGGCUGUUGCCGUCCAAUAGGUGCAUCCGUUCCGGCUCCGCAUUGAGUGACCAGCUCCGCCCUACCAACUACCGCUCCCGAUUUUGUUGCCGUUCCGGACGUUUCGUUUUCAGCCUUGGCUGGUUCCGCCCAGUAGGUGUUCCCGUUCUGACUUCCCCCACAACUACCGAACGCAGGAGAUAUAGAAGGGAGGACCGAGCGGCGACUGAACCAUCUCCGCGAAAAAUUUGGGGAAUCAUCGCUACAACCUCAAAUUGUCGCAGUGGGCACGAGCAACUCAACAAAAGCAACGAUGGUUAUUUUUGGCGGCGCGGAGUAUAUCGCAGAUAAUAUUGUGUAUGCAUUUGUAUGCAUAUCACUUAUGUGCUAAAUUUGCGAUAUACUCCGGACUGCAAACCGCUGUGGCUCUUUGUUCAGUCAUACCUGUUCAAAAUCCCGGCGUCCAUUAUUGAGCUCCCGAAGAGCACACGUGAUUUCCUAAAAGGUAUAGAUAAUUAAACUGAAAGAUCGUUUUUUUUUCUUAAAAUAAUCUUUUUUCAAGUGAAAAGAAUAGAAUAAAUGAAUUAAACUCAAAA
rnacentral:lncRNA from 1 species